GAAAAUGAUGAUAUUUGAAUGUCGCCCCAGUCUUACAAGCAUCUAAAUCAGAUGCGAUUUGGUGAUUGACCUUUUUAUCUGAUCC
rfam:Spinacia oleracea cultivar SynViroflay scaffold1093.con0003.1, whole genome shotgun sequence.